GAUGAACGCUGACGGCGUGCCUAAUACAUGCAAGUCGAGCGAACGGACGAGAAGCUUGCUUCUCUGAUGUUAGCGGCGGACGGGUGAGUAACACGUGGAUAACCUACCUAUAAGACUGGGAUAACUUCGGGAAACCGGAGCUAAUACCGGAUAAUAUUUUGAACCGCAUGGUUCAAAAGUGAAAGACGGUCUUGCUGUCACUUAUAGAUGGAUCCGCGCUGCAUUAGCUAGUUGGUAAGGUAACGGCUUACCAAGGCAACGAUGCAUAGCCGACCUGAGAGGGUGAUCGGCCACACUGGAACUGAGACACGGUCAAGACUCCUACGGGAGGCAGCAGUAGGGAAUCUUCCGCAAUGGGCGAAAGCCUGACGGAGCAACGCCGCGUGAGUGAUGAAGGUCUUCGGAUCGUAAAACUCUGUUAUUAGGGAAGAACAUAUGUGUAAGUAACUGUGCACAGCUUGACGGUACCUAAUCAGAAAGCCACGGCUAACUACGUG
rnacentral:rRNA from 1 species